rnacentral:lncRNA from 1 species
CUGGACCAUUAUUAAAUUCACACACAUUUAUAAAUAUCUCAUUUUUUUAAUUCAUGAACGUUUCAUCAGAUUCUUUAAUGAGGUUUGAAUUUCAUUAAAAAAAUGAAAUCAGGAAAAGAGGUAAAGACUGAAAUACAAAGAAAAAUAAAAGCAAAUGAAAGAAAGGGUGCCCGGCACAUCCAGGAGAGUGACACUUCAACUAUUUCAAUUGGCCCGUUCCUGCAUAUGAAUUUGACUCAUUUUUCGAUUGUCUGGUCUAAUUUUGAGGGCCGCUGAUACGUCUGGCUUCACGCGAGAUGAAACGGGACCUCGCAUCAAAUAGGGCCCAUAAUGGGCUAACCCAACGAGGACUGCAGGCAUUCAUCGUUUUUUUUAGGUAUCAUUUUUGCUUUUUACUUUUUUGCCUUGUAUUUUGCUUGUGUUUUGUAAUCUUCUAGCGCCCCCUCCCAUGUUUCUAAAUAUAGUAAUUUUUGAAGAUUACACUAUGAACUACAUAUAAAGAAAAAUGAGUGAAUCUAUACUUUAAAGUAUGUCUAUUUAUACAUUCAGUGGCGGUGCCCAGAAUCAGAAGCUAUGAUGUCAUCUCAAAUUUGUGAUAUUAAAUACAUGUGUUUUCACUGAAUUUAAUUAAAAUAUACAUGAUUUCUACUGGUGUACAAAGGAUUUGCCAAAUGCCUGUGUGGUCAAUUGACCACACUUCUCUCAACGUGGCUUAGCCACUGUAUACAUCCGUAUGUAGUUUAUUGUAAAAUAUAAAAAAAAUCUUAUAUUUAGAAAAGGAGGGAGUAGUUAUAUUUAUUAUACAAACCACUUUACAUACAUAACUGAAAAAUGAUAAACACGCAUUUGAACAUGUUAAAUAUGUAUAGUGAAAAUGUUUAUCACGUAUAUGAAGAAUGUUUUUAAAAAGUGUGAAUGCAACAACUUAAUCUUGUAUUAUAAAAUGUUAAGUCAGUCAUUUGAAUUAAAUAUUGAACAAGUGUUUUAAAAAUAUUAGUCAAGCAUUUGGAAAAUGUUAAGUACGUAUAGAAAAAAUGUCGACCAUGUAGUAAGAAAAUGAUGAAAAAAAUGACAUGUAUAUAAAAAUGUUA